GUCAGUGUGGUGUAGUGGUUUGAGUGUUGGACUACAACUCUGGAGUCCAGGGUUCGAUUCACCUCUUGGCCU
rnacentral:tRNA from 1 species